UGUCGCAGUGAAAUUUGCUGUUGUGUCAUAUAUCAUAUUGUAUCCAGCAGAGUUCAUACGAAAGUAUGUUAAUUUUUUGGACGCCCCACAGUAUGAGUCCCAUGCAUUUCUUUUCGUACUCUCUCUGCUGAAUUUUAUUUUUUCAUAUUUAUGGGUGGUUUUCAUGGUUCAACAGUUUCUAUUUAACUUUGUCAUGCCACGACUUCAUAACUGGAGGGGACCUCGUCGCCCAUAUGAGAAGUUGGGACGGGACCUCAUGGCCAAGCCUUCAUGGCCACCUCUCAUCACUGCUGCUAGCCCCGAGGACGGGCCUCUUUCAUCUCCUAACGAUGACCAAUCUUCAUAACUCCUGAACUUGCCCGCUAGUGGAAAACAAACAGCGAAAAUGAUGUUUUAAUCGAAAGAGAUUCAUGAAGUGAGCGUGGUGGGUAGGCCCACACUCACAUUUUCCACAUUUCGUGGUAGCAGCAAGAAACGCAAGAAUGAAGCUUUGAGGCAUGAGUAACUAACUGAAGACAACUGUGAAAAAGCUCAAAGUGUGGUGCAUAUUAAAACAGCCAUGUUAAGCGCAGGUCAAACGAAAAAAUGCAAUGCAGCACACAAAAACAUUGUGUGAUUCAUAUGUGACUGAUAAUUGACAUGCAUUUCUGUUCAUGUGUAAUAAAAAUUGUUUUGGUAUGUUG